rnacentral:tRNA from 1 species
GCCGAUGUAGCUCAACGGUAGAGCAAUUGAUUUGUAAUCAAUAGGUUGGGGGUUCAACUCCCUUCAUCGGCUCCA